CAUCGAGGCUAGGUGUGGCCAUGAUAAUGUAACCGCAGUGAGCCUUGAUAGCUCUAGAUUCUAUUUUUCAGGCUUGUCAUCAAGUCAAGGGGGGUGCUCAAGCCCCCAAAGCGCCCCACUGGAUCCGCCACUGACAUUGACCUCUCAGAUUACUUUACCUGCAUAAAAGUCUGCUUGAGGCAGACCAUUUCCCAUGGGCCAUGCAGCAUUACUCUGUUUAAUAAGGUGGGAAAAACGCAUGUUUAUUACUGUAUCCCUGAGAAACUUUUAUGAGUCCCACAUUUUAUACUAGCAACACAGCAUACAAAAGUACAUGGAAAAUAUACUGCAGCUGGUCUAACAUGUAUAUCACAUGUUAAAAACAAAUUUUUGGGGUAAGUUUGUGGACAGGAAAUAGCGGGUGAGUGUAAUGCGGAAUGGAAUGGAAUAUGGAACGGAAUAUGGAAUGACAAACUUAGUAAUAAAAAGAGAGCUGCUGAUGGUGCUCUGUAUUUUUUUUAGUGUAGUAUGACAUAAAUACUUGUAAAAAGUGUUACAUUAUAAACACACAGUUAAUUUUAGAAGACUGUUAGAUUCUAAUUGAAUUUCUGGGAUAUAACAUACAAAUUACAUGCAUAUACACAUUGUACAGUGUCUAGCUUUAGCCAAGUAUAAUUAUGCUGUGCCUAAAUUAAACAAGUAAAGUGUUGAAUAUAUACCUGCAAAGUUUUGGCCCUUGGUGAAACUUUAAACAAUUUGUGCGUAUUGAAGAGACAACACUGACCAAGCCUUUUGCCACAAUUAUUAGGUUGUAAAGUCUGAUGAUCUCAAUUUUGUCUUGAGGAAUGCCCAAAUACACGGCAAAUGAUUGUGGAUUUGUGAGAGUGCUCAGUUCCUUAUAUAAAAGAGGUAGUGUAAAAUCUGGAAUGGCUGUAGGAGAAUACACCAUCGAACAAGUCAUUCAAGUAGUUUAACAGUAAAAUCAAGCUGUGAAUUUGCAGUGCACAUAUUUGCUUAGGCUAAGCUAUGCGCUCAACUAUACUAUAUAAUUAUACUCAAAUCACUAUAGUCAUUUAUAUAGAUCUAUAUAUUAUUAUGUAAAACACCAUCAGCAGGCACUUAGCUUAUUGCUCUACACCUUCGUGUUGCUGACAUUUUGAGGGUUGAAGUGUAGUUGCUACUCCAUCGGUAUUUCCGUGAUGUAAGUCUUGUGUUUUCUUACCACUGUUGUUUGAAGUCAGUUCAUCUUGUGAGCCAUUAUUGGAGUGAUGUGAUGAGUCAGCACUAGGGUUGUGUACGGCUUCAUACUCAUCUGAAAACAAAUCGACAUCCGAAGUGCCGCUUUCAAUCUGUUCGUCAGACAGUUGUUGUUCCAAUAUACAAUCUAGAAGCUCAUCCCACAUUUGAAGGAACUCAGCCAACAUCUAUAUACAUAAUGGUGUGUAAAGAAAUUCACUUAAUAAUUGUGACAUGAUUUUAUGUCUCGGUGCGCAUGCACAAGCGUGGUAUACAGUAGUGUGUUUGUGUGUGUAUCUGUGUGUGUGUCUGUGUGUGUGUGUGUGUGUGUGUAGACUGCUACAGCUGCUCAAGGAUCAAUGAAGUGCAAGUAAGAGUUUCUAUAUAGGCUUCUAGAAAUUCGUGGCCAUUUGCAAAAUAAUGCUUUGUUCUCGAGUUAUGCCUUAUACACUUGGAAUACCAUUGAUUGCAGCCUUUUCAGAAGAGUGCGUAGAAUAACUUGUUCACCGAGUGUUGCUACUCUACUUGUAGUUAGCUCUGCACUAGAACGCUAGCUAUUGGUAGCUGCAAGAGUUGAGAAGAGAGCUGCAAGGCUCUGCUGAUGCGCAGCCAUUCAUUUAGACUUGGAUUUUUGGCAUCGAUCAUUUUUAAUAAUCAUGGCCGAUCCUUACCCGAUUAUCUUCGAGAGUUUUCUGGAUUCUGCCUUUGCAUGCACAGCAAGGCCAAGAGCGCAUAAAAGAGAGGGUUAAGGUUAGGGUUUUAUGCGACUACUAUAGUUGUUCGCCUAAUCAUUAUAAAAGCGCGGCCUGGGAUCGAGGCUAGGAAAAAUACAGCACAAACAUACUACCGUAUACCUCGCUUGCGCAUGCACACCUAGGCAUAAUAACUGAAUAAUAGGCUGUUAACUUGGUAAUAAUUAUCUCAAGCAUGCAUAAUCUACCAACCCCUAUAUGUAUCUAGCUCAGAGCAGCUAUGUGCAUCAGAUCGCUUGCCAAUAUAAUUGUGCUCAUGCAUCGAUCCUGUACAAUCAUAUGAGUACUGCCUGUCCCGAGGUAUUUUGCACACAUAUCUAUAUACAUGCAGUAUAAUUAUAGUAAUAUCUAUGGUAGAUCUAUACUUUAACUCAAAAUAAUGUUUAAGAAUUCAAUAUUAUUACUACAAAACAGAUUCUAUAUACUCCAGCUAGUUGUAUUCCUUCUUAUGGUAUACACUAUAUUUCCCAGUCACUUAAUACAGCUAUAUAUAUUCUACAGCAGUACGCAUGUUCUUUACUUCUUUAGUUGUUUGAACACGUUUGGAUAUUUCCCACGUUAAUCAUCGCACAAUUGGCUAGUAUGUUAAGCGUCAGUGUGAUUGGAGCAGUUGUUCCAGUUGAAGCUAUGGGGAUGGGAAUGGGGAAUGGGAUUCCACCUGAACACGGUGAACCUGAACCUCCAUAUACCUCCACACAAAAACCACCACCUGCAUAUGUAUGAAUAAACAUAAUGAUUAUAAUUAUGGAGAGCUUAUUAUAAUUAUUGCACUAUACAUUUACUGCAUGCAUUAAAUAUAUAAGGUUCAUUUACCGCUAACGGUGCAAACAUCAAUAUCAGCCACGGUAUUUCCUGCUGGUACUUGGACUCUCACUUGUGUACAGCCUGACGAUAUUCCACAGUUGACCAAAACAUUUACAGCAUUUGCAAUGCCUGGAAUCCAGCCUAGUGCCGGCUGCAAUAUGGAAUUUACAAUAUUUCCAGCAGUAUCACAGUCUUGGAUAGUUAGGAAAGACGCUGCUUGACUAAUGCGGGCUCUACCCCUGUCUUCAUGGGUAAUUCUUGAUUCUUUCACUGCAGACGAAUCUUUUAAAGCUUGCAAUACCAAUGCCUGUGUUAGGGCUUCUUUGUUGUUUUGGCUCAUCUGAAUUGCCUUCAGCACAUCUAUCGCAGGUGAUCCAUUCACCAACUGUUGUGAGCAUAAAGCCACUGACACCAGGAGGAAAGCGAAUAUCUUCAUUCUUGCUGCUGAUACAAAUUGGGUCCUUGGCUGCUUAUGAGUUGCUUAUACUCGCUCUCUGUUUUCAGCUCAUUAUAUAGCCUGCAUGCUGACCUCGGUACAGUAUAUGCAGGCAGAAUCCUUCUAACUGCCAUUUUUAGUGAAUGUAAUGUGAUCUGUGUAUCCAAGAAAAGGUUAUGAAGGGUUGACCUAGUUAAUUCUAUUAGCACAUUCCAAUGGCAAAACAUUUAGCAGUUACUAAGAUGCACACGAUCACAAUACACAUUGCAUACCAAUUAAUGAGCCCAUUGUGUCACAAAACCUGCUAUAUACAUGCAGACAUGUAUAAUUAUACUCAUUCAGAUUCCAUACUAUAUAGCUGACUUCAGAGCAGUGAAUACAAUACACCGCUUGCAUGGGCAACCGCAUGCAGUCUAUGCUCAAGACAUUUCCUAUAAUUAUAAUUCUCCUUUUCAAUUUCCUCUAUAAACCACAAGCUUAACGUAGACCAUACCAUUGAUACCAUCCGAGUAACAUCACAAACUUUAUAAUGGUCAAUGUAUGACACUAUAGAUCUAACCUAGAAUAUCAUGCCAUGCAUGCUAAGGAGAUAACUAUAUCUACCAAUGCAUGCAUUAUGAGAAAUUAUGCAUAUAUAAUUAUUACGGCAAAAGGCCUACGAUUGUUUUUCCAAAGCCGUCUAUUAUCAUAAAUAAAGGUGCCCAUUAUGCCAGCAUAAUUCUUACACAAAUAAGAUGCCUAUUUUGAGCAUAUAAUUAUGCUAGCAUAUAAUCUACCAAUAUACCUAUAGUUGCGAGUCCAAUUAGAACUUGCUAGAAUUCCUAUGCUGGUGGACACGCAACCAUCAUACAAAUUUAAAGCUAUACACACGUGCUUGAGCACCCCAUGCAGUUGUUGCCACAAGGCCUACAAUAUGUCUUAAAGUCAAGCAUCCUGUGUUUCACGAUUCAUAAUUAUUUUCACACCUUCUUUAGCAAUGCAAUCAAGUACAUUCAUCAUUUAAUUCUUUAUACUCAUGGAAUUCUUCUAGAAAGUGCCCGGGAUUUUACUCAUGAGUAAAUUGAUACCAAAUGAUAUACUUGAAACCAAAAUCGUAGUUCAAAAGUCAAUCUAGAUCAGAUUUCAAAAUCAUGUUUGGCAGUGCUGUUGAACAAAGUGUGCCCAUUAUAUAAUUAUAUACCAGCAUAAUGUACCCACCUUGACACCUUUAAUAUAGUUCAUUAAUCACCGAUUGGACUUCUUGCCGCCUAAAAUAUAGCUAUUAUUAUACAUUAAUGUGUGCAUGUCGGUUUUGCAAGCUAAAACACAUGCAUGCAUAUACACUGUACAAAAUGAUGUGUGGUUUUUAUGCAAAGUGCGUGACUAUAAUGAUUGUGACAAAUAUCAAGUGAUAUAAUUUUUUAUAUCUCAUGCAUGAAUUGCAGGCAGAGUAAUCUGAGACCAAUAAUACGAAAUGAACACCUAUAUAGAUCUAUAUAUGCAUGCACUACCCUCAUUAUAAUUAUAUUCAUGAAUUAUGACUUUUGGUAUAGCCCAUGCAGACAGUUAGAUUAGACUAAACAGAAGCGAGAAAGCUGCAUGGCCCAGAUCAUACCUCUGUGGUAUUAACAAGAACAUGCAUGCAUCCAUAUACAUGCGUGGUGAACUUGCAUCCAUAUACACAUGCAGUGGUCAACUUGCAUAUCCUUGAUUCAAUCAAAUUAGACCUAUUCUUGGAGCUAAACGGCUAUAAUAGGUUUUCCAUAUCCCAGAUACUGUGCAUGCAUGCUCUCAUUUUGGGUAUGUAUGUCUGGUAGUCUAGACCACAACAACAACAUCUCUUGCCAGACUUCCAGGUAAACUAAUCUGAGACCAUUGAUGCACAUAAUUAUGAAUCAUGCCUAUAACAUACAUGCAUGCACAGAACGUUGUUUAACAUGCAGAAGCAAAUAGCAGGAAAAUGCUGGGAAAGAGGUCUGCAUGCCUAUCACAUGGGUAUAUCACAUGGGUGGUAAUCUGUGGUUGUCAAUCAAAGAUGUUGCUGGGACCCGAGCAGAUGUUUCAACUUGCACCGCUACUCAUAGGAGGUGGACCCCUUAGUUCAUUAAUCACAUUACCGUAUAGCGGGUAAUUUUCGUGGGGUAAAAUAUUCGUUAUUUUCGUGGGCAGGCUGACUCCACGAAAUUUUAACGUAGGCGUGGCUUAUCGGAACGUAGGAAUGCCGUGCAGCCACGAGACUAAACGAAAUUUUUACUCACGAAAACCACCGUUUCUCGAGUUAAACAAAUUUUUUACCCUACGAAACUUACCCGCUAUACGGUACAACAUAAAUACCAUAUAGCGCGAAAUUUUAGAGGGGCUUAAUUUUCGCGGAUUUCGUGGGUUAGAAUCCUACACGAAAAUUAAGUCCACAAAAAUUGUAUUACCUGCUAUAACAUGCAUAGAUUUAAAGGCAUGGCUUCCGGUAAGCAGUCAUUCCGCGAACAUUGUGCAAUGAAAUAGCUUUUAGAGGCUAAUCCACGAAAUAUAAGUGCCUCGAAAAUUUCGCGCUAUACGGUAGCUUCUAUUACAAAAAGUUAGAUUUAUAGAUGUUAAAGCUUCGUUGUCUAGUAAAAGCGAGCAAAUAAAAAGCUUGAACUUGCAACGUGGUUAUAAUAAAGAAACACAGUUUUGAUUCCUUGCUGACUCUGCUGUGAUAGUCUCAUGCAGUGCAUGACCUAUACGACGUACUGCAGAUGCUGUUCUCAAAGCCUAGUUACUACAGCUUUGGAUAACGUUCAUGCACAUGAACACCCCUCUAUACUGAGUUUUAGCUCAAUAGUUAUUGCCUUGUUAAGUUUCUGCAUGGUGGCUUAUUCCUCAAUCAUACAAUGUCAUGCAUUACUGAUUUAAACACCAUGGAUAUAACACUGCACUCAUCAUCAGUAUUCUUGGUUCAGUCUGCUCUAUACUAGGUAGUCCACAGUAUAUGCUCUCAAGUCCUUAGCUCUUAAUGGAGUAUAUACGAGUGCAUGCAUGGAACAGGAGGAUGUAGUUAUUUCAGGCCCUCUGGUGCAUGGGUUGAUACCUAAUUGCCAUGGAUACUUCAAGCCUCUGCAUCUGAGCAGUCUCCUGUCUACAAACUGACCCGAAAAAUUCACAUCAUACAUGUUAGACCGUGCAGCUGCAGUAUUGUCCUUUUAUGCUAUGUCGUUGAGUAAAAAAAUUAAUGUGCAUGAGUGCAUGCCUGAUGGGACUCAAAACUUUCUUUGUUCUCUGGAUACAACAUGGAACUUAAUUUUGUUUUUUAUAUCAUUAACAGAAUAACAUUAUAAUGCUGCAUGGCACAGCAUGCAUGGGAAAAGGUCUGCCUCUGUGGUAAUUAACAAAAAGUCCGUACACAAUGACAUCAUGCUGGUGUAGCAUGGGAAAAGUUCUGCCUCUGUGGUAAUUAACAAGAAAUCCACACAAUGACAUCAUGCAUAAUUAUACAGUACAAAUAUAACGCUCUGUGUACAUCUUCAUUCAUAAUUUAUGUGCAUCAUAUUGGCCUCUUCAUUAUGAGAGUCUGGGAAGAGGUGUUAUGUUGUAGUCUACCAGCAUAAUAAUGAUAAUGAUAACCUCCCUCCCUCAGUAGUCAGAGGAGGUCCGACAGGCGUGGUGCAGCUCAAGUAUAAUUAACCUUUGAUUACUCUCAGCAAAAACAUACGACGUGGGCGGAUAAUUAUUGCUCAAUCCAAGGCUAAUUGCCAGAGCUGCACCCCGCCUGUCCUAUACCUCCUCUGCUCAGUAGUGGUAAGGUGAUUCCCACAAACCAGAAACAAGACAUUAAUUAACAUUGGCCUAAGUGUGCAUGUUGGGGUAGUGCCAUAAAAUAUGCCUCAAAGGAUUACAGUGUUACUCAACUAUAUAUUAUAGAGUUACAUAAUUCAAACACUUUUAAUAAUAUAGGUAAACCAGUUUGGACUAGUUUGACAAACUCUGGUAUCUGAUGCAAGACUAAGUGUGCCCAUGGAUCAGCAUUAAAUCAGUAUAGCACAUAUAAAUUAUGGAACUAUUAGCAUAAUUUUAAGCAAAAUCAAGCAAUAAUCUGGAUUGAUGCCUGUAGAAAGCACCAUGGGAUUAAAAAAACUAUUGACUCAAUGAAAUACGUAAUGCUGUAUCACAACAACAUUAAUUGUUCGUUCCAGUUUGUAUUGGUGUUGGUGGGCUGAGGCUCCUCACUGUAUCAUGUAUAUGCAUCAUGAUUAGUGGAAUUGUUGGUUCUGUUAAAACACAUGCAAAUGCCAGAUGGGCCUCUCAGGUAUAAUUAAUGGUGCACUUAUAAAAUGACUGCCUACACAGAAUGCCAGCCGCCUAAUUAAUGGUGCACCUAUCAGUGAAAUGACUGCCUAUACACAAAAUGCCACAGGGCCUAAUUGGUGCACUAAUUAUCAAUGAAAUGACUGCCUAUACACAGAAUGUCACAUUAAUAGUGCAUUUAAUGUAUACACAGAAUAUACUGGGAAAGAGAGUUUGACCUUAUAUACACAUAUCUAUAAAAAUAAUAAUAAUAUGGUAAAUCCACCUUGUUAAUCUAAUUAUCGUGGUGUGUGCUCAUUAAAGUGAAGUGCAUGGUUUUCACUGGUACUGCAUGGUCUCACAUUUCAUUCCUAGGUAUGCCUGGUACUUGACUACAGCAAUAACAUCUUUUACUGAGGCUCUUAUACUGCUCUGGGAUGGGUACACACUAGCUGUGAAAUUAAUAAUUAUUAGGACCAAGAAACAUUUGGUCUUAAUAAUUUUAGUUGCUGGAUUGGCUGGAUUGGCCGGGGAAACAUGCACCAAAAGGCAUAUAUAAGUAAUAGGGGGAAAGCUGAGCUGAGGUCUGUCUAUAGUUGUUAUGAAAAGUGAAUACUAGAUCUAGUGCAAGUGCAUGACAAAUUUGUUCAGUCUGUCUCACUCAACUGAAUGCGAUAUAGCACUGUGAUAGGAUAUAUAUAGGCCUCAACACAACAAGGUAUAUAGUAGUUUAACGUUAACAGAUUUUGAUGUUAAAGCUUUGGUGUCGAAUAAAAGCUAAAAGCUCGAACCAGUACGUUUAAAACGACUUUCUUCUGAUGACUAGCAGAUUGCAUGAGCAAAUAAUGAUCAGAAGAUAGGUGUGCAUGCGUGCAUGUUGGGGUAGUGCCAUAAAAUAUGACUCAAAGCGUUUAAGGAUUACAGUGUUACUCAACUAUAGAGUUACAUAAUUCAAACAAUUAUAAUAUAGGUAAACCAGUUCAGACUAGUUUGACAAACUCUGGUAUAUAUAAUUAUUCUGAUGCAAGACUAUAAGUGUGCCCAUGGAUAACAGAUCAGCAUUAAAUCAGUAUAGCAUGCACAUAUAAAUUAUGGAACUAUUAAUUCAGUGCAUAAUUUUAAGCCUAUAUAUAUAUAUAUGUAUAUGUAUAUAUAUAUCAAAUAAUCUGGAUUGAUGCAUGUAUAGAAAGCACCAUGGGAUUAACUAUUGGCUAUAUAAAUGAAAUACGUAAUACUGUAUCACAACAAUAAUUAUAACAUUAAUUGUUCCAGUUUGUAUUGGUGUUGCAUGGUGGGCUGAGGCUCCUCACUGUAUCAUGUAUCAUGUAUGCAUCAUGAUUAGUGGAAUUGUUGGUUCUGUUAAAACACAUGCAAAUGCCAGAUGGUGCACUUAUGAAAUGACUGCCUACACAGAAUGCCAGCCAGCCUAAUUGGUGCACUUAUCAAUGAAAUGACUGCCUAUACAUAUAUACACAGAAUGUCACAUUAAUGGUGCACUUAAUGAUGCAGAAUAUACUGGGAAAAAGAGUUUGACCUUAUACACAUGUUGAGUUCGUGCACCGAGCAGCGUGUGGCAUGCAGUUCAAGAUUAAGAUUAAUAACAUUCAACCAUGCAUAGAUCAAAUGACAGUAUGCACAAAACAUAGACAGUAAAUAUACUAAGACAACAAAGACAGUGGAGCAGACGCUCCCAUACACAAAGGGUGCCGCUAGGAGCAGACUGCCAGGCUAGAGCACAAAGCAAUAAGAUAGACCUAUACAAAAGAAGUGUUAGCUAGUAAUAAGAACUCAUGCGCAUGUACAGUAAACAUUACAACACAGGAAAUAUUAUGAACAGGAAAUGACUAAGUGAAUAACUAGCUAGCAAAGUCAUUACAACACAUAUCUCUACGCUUGUUAAUCUGGUAUGUGCUCAUUAGAGCUGAAGUGCAGGUUUCACUGGUACUCAUGAGUAAAAUCGCUUUAAUGGGCGCUUUCUAGGAGAAUUCCAUGAGCAUAAAGAAUAAAUGAUGAAUGUACUCAAUCGCAUUGCUAAAGAAGGUGUGAAAAUAAUUAUGAAUCGUGAAACACAGGAUGCUUGACUUCAAGACAUGUUGUAGGCCUUGUGGCAACAACUGCAUGGGGUGCUCAAGCACGUGUGUAUAACUUUAAAUUUGUAUGAUGGUUGCGUGUCCACCAGCUUAUAGAGGGAGUGAAUUCUAGCAAGUUUUACAUAAAUCAAAUUGGACUCGCAACUAUAUAGGUCUUGAUAGAUUAUGCUAGCAUAUAUAAUUAUAUGCUCAAAAUAGGCAUCUUAUUUGUGUGAGAAUUAUGCUGGCAUAAUGGGCACCUUUAUGAUAAUAGACGGCUUUAGAAAAACAAUCAUAGGCCUUUUGCUAUAUUAAGACAGGAGUCAAAGAAACAAGGAAAGUGCAGCAACAAAUGGAACUUUGUGACUAAUCUUAGUUUCUGGCUUAUUACUUUGAGUAUGACUAUGCUUUCUAGUAUCACUGCAUGAGUAUUGUUAGCAUCAUUUCCUACUAGUAUAAAAGGCUAUGAUUGUUUGCAGCCUUUUGGCUUAGCUAGGAUAGCUACUUUCUCUCAAGUUUCCACGGAAUUGGAGGUUACAAGAAGAUUAAUUAACAAUCGUGACCAACCUCCUCUGGCUUCUUAUAGUAACUGCUAAAUGUUUACCAUUGGGAUGUGCUAAUAGAAUUAACUAUAGGUCAACACUCUAUAACCUUUUCUUGGAUACACAGAUCACAUUACAUUCACUAAAAAUGGCAGUUAAAAGGAUUCUGUCUGCAUACUGUACCGAGGUCAGCAUGCAGGCUAUAUAUAAUGAGCUGAAAACAGAGAGCGAGUAUAAGCAACUCAUAAGCAGCCAAGGACCCAAUUUGUAUCAGCAGCAAGAAUGAAGAUAUUCGCUUUCCUCCUGGUGUCAGUGGCUUUAUGCUCACAACAGUUGGUGAAUGGAUCACCUGCGAUAGAUGUGCUGAAGGCAAUUCAGAUGAGCCAAAACAACAAAGAAGCCCUAACACAAGCAUUGGUAUUGCAAGCUUUAAAAGAUUCGUCCAAUGCAGUGAAAGAAUCAAGAAUUACCCAUGAAGACAGGGGUAGAGCCCGGAUUAGUCAAGCAGCAUCUUUCCUAACUAUCCAGGACUGUGAUACUGCUGGAAAUAUUGUAAAUUCCAUAUUGCAGCCGGCACUAGGCUGGAUUCCAGGCAUUGCAAAUGCUGUAAAUGUUUUGGUCAACUGUGGAAUAUCGUCAGGCUGUACACAAGUGAGAGUCCAAGUACCAGCAGGAAAUACCGUGGCUGAUAUUGAUGUUUGCACCGUUAGCGGCGGUGGUUUUUGUGUGGAGGUAUAUGGAGGUUCAGGUUCACCGUGUUCAGGUGGAAUCCCAUUCCCCAUUCCCAUCCCCAUAGCUUCAACUGGAACAACUGCUCCAAUCACACUGACGCUUAACAUACUAGCCAAUUGUGCGAUGAUUAACGUGGGAAAUAUCCAAACGUGUUCAAACAACUAAAGAAGUAAAGAACAUGCGUACUGCUGUAGAAUAUAUAUAGCUGUAUUAAGUGACUGGGAAAUAUAGUGUAUAUACCGAAUACAACUAUAGCUGGAGUAUAGAAUCUGUUUUGUAGUAUAUUGAAUUCUUAAACAUUAUUUUGAGUUUACUAUUAAAA